rnacentral:rRNA from 1 species
AACAAAAACAUGUCCUUUUGUUUAUAUAUUUAAGGUUUAACCUGCCCACUGAAUUUUUUUUAUUUUAAAUGGCCGCAGUAAUUUGACUGUGCAAAGGUAGCAUAAUCAUUAGUUUUUUAAUUGAAAGCUUGUAUGAAAGGUUGAACGAAGUAUGAUCUGUCUUUAUUUAAUUUAUUUUAGAAUUUAAUUUUUAAGUUAAAAAGCUUAAAUAUAAAUAAAAGACGAGAAGACCCUAUAAAUCUUUAUAUUAUUAUAAAUUAAAAUAAUUUAGUUUUUUUUUAUUUUAUAAUUUUAUAUAAUAUUUUAUUGGGGUAAUAAAGUGAUUUAAUUAAUUCAUUUUAAUUUUUUACAUUAAUUUAUGAUUUUAUGAUCCAAUAUGUUUUGAUUGUAAGAUUAAGUUACUUUAGGGAUAACAGCGUGAUUUUUUUAGAGAGUUCAUAUCGAUAAAAAAGUUUGCGACCUCGAUGUUG